UUGCUUUCUUUAGUAUUAUUUCUCAUGAUUACAAUUGAUAUACUUUGUUGAUUUAUUAGUUAUAAUGUUUAUCUUAUUUUGGAUAUUGACUUAGGCUUGCUAACAUAUAUUUUAAUUUAUCAUAGUCUACCUUCAGGAAAUAUUAUGCUAGACAUAUGAAAUCUUACAACAGUACAACUUAAUUUUCCUCACCUAGUCUUUGUAGUAUUGGUAUACAUUUUGCUUCUACAUAACUUAAAAAAUCCAAAUUUUAUUAUUUUUCUUAAAUAGGUAAUUUGUCUUCUACUCGUAAACAAAUUUAAAUAAUAUAAACAAAAUUAUUUUAUAUUCACUCACAUAGUUACCAUUUUUACUGUUCAUUACUUUGUGUACAUCCAUAUUUUCUAUUAUUAUUUAUUCCUGUCCAAAAGACUUCCUUUAACAUUUCUUGCAAUGCAGAUUUAUGGGUUAAGGAUUCUCUGAGCUACUGUAAUCUAAAAAAGUAUUUAUUUCACCCUCAGUUUUGAAAGAUAUGUUUUUUUCAGUAUAGAACUGUAGCUUGACAUUUUUUUUCUUUCAGUAAUUUAAAGAUAUUGUUCCAUUUCUUUUGACUUGUGCUGCUUGACAGCAGCAACAAAAAAAAUCUGCUUUCAUCUUUAUAUAUAUUAGGCUGCUUGAAAUUACUCUAUAGCUCACAUAUGCUCUGUUCCUUUUCUUUUAGUCCUUCUUUUAUCUGUUUCAUUUUGGAUCGUUUCUAUUACUAUAUGUACUCAUCAUUUUACUAAUUCUUACUUCUGCAAUGUUAAAUUUAUUUAUAAUCCCUCCCAGUGUAUCCUUCAUUAUAGAUAUUCCAGUUUUAGUAGUUACAAGUCUUAUUUGAGACUUCCGUAAAUACAUAUUGCUUUUACUUGAUGAGUUAAUUUUGCCUCUUGACUUCUUGAAAAUACACAACAUAGUUUAUAUAACUCUAGUGUCUUUUGUCUACUAAUUCAUUUGUCCUUGUCAUUUCUAGGAAGUUGACUUUGAUUGGUUUUAUCUCAUUUAGGGUCAUAUUUACUUCCUUUUUUAUGGGGUGGUCAUUUUUGACUGGAUUUCAAACACUCAAUUUUACCCUUUUUGUUGCUUGAUGUUUUUGUAUUUAUGCUUGAGCUAUAAAUACGCUUAUGCUUUCUUUUGGAUACAGUCAACUUAGAAAUGGUUUGAUCCUAGCAGGUAUUGCUUUUAAGCUUUGUUAGGUAGAACCAGAGCAUCCCUUUAGUCUAGGGUUGCUUUUGCCCAUCUACUGAGGCAAUACCCUCCUGAGUAUUUUAGCUGAUGCCAGUCUGGCUGAUAGAAACAGGAUCUAUCACCAGACUUGUGUAAAUUGCAAGGAUUGUUCUCUCUCUUGCUAAUUCUUUCCCAGACUCCUUAAGUUUUCUCAUACUUACUCAUUCACUGCUACUUAGUUUAAAACUUGAGGCUCCCUGCUGAUUUCUUGAGGAGUCUCUCACUUCAGCUCUCACCUCGCUGGUUUUCUGCCCUGCAGUUGCACACUACCUUGGCCUUGGCCUUCUCAACCUCUCAGCUCCAUCUUUUCAUUUCAUUGAGACCACCAGUCUCUGCUUGGGUUCUCCCUCUCUGCCUUGCCAGCUGGAAUAUCUCUCAGGUAGCAUCCUCAGGCAAUUCUAUGGCUCAUUUAGUUUUUUUCUCCUCUUUCAUGGAUCACUCUCCUUCAGGGUUUGAUGUCCAAUACCUUCAAAACAUUUUGUGGAAUAUAUCCUGACAAGUUUUUUAUUUGAUUAAGGUAUGUUCCAUUCCAGUUAUUCUGUCUUGUCUGGAAGGAGAAGUCCUAGGAAGACUUUUAAAACAGAAUGAAAAAAGAUUUUGUGCCAACUCAGACUGACUAACAGUGGCUACUGGGAAUGUGAUAAAGAUUAUGUGGUCACCUCUGUGUAGCAGGUAAUAGUAGCAUGUACACCAGUUGUUUACUUACAAUUCUGAAAACUGCACCAGAGUAGAUCCUUAAGUUCUAUCAUUACAAAAGUGGAUAUGGAAAACGACUCUCAACUAAAGAGAAAACAAGAAAAUGAAAAAUGGCAGGGACUGCAGCUCCAAGAUAGUGUGGCACUGAGUAACGACAGUGGAAGUAAUGAAAUAGAUACUUAAGUAAUUCUGUCAUACAGUCACUGGUGAAAGCCUUAAGGAAGUCUUCCAUCUGCAAGUGACAGUAAACAACGUGAGCUUCUCUGAAUGAGUAGGAAAACUGAUGGGAGGGUAGAAAGAAAAGCCAGAGAGAGAUAAGAACCUGAAAAGGAUUUAGAGACUUUGAGGGAAAUAAGGAGAAUAAAAGGGAAAAAGAGAGCAGAGAGAAACAGGAAGAAAUAACGAACAGAAUACAGAAAAGCCUUAGUAAGGGACCAGGGAGAGAUGACACUAAUAAAAUAGAAUGCAAUAGCCAGGGCAAUUAUUGAAAUGAGCUGACAGCCACAUGGAUGCAGCUUCAUAAAAGAGGCUAAUGACUUACAUGAAGCUUAGCAGUUUUUCUCAGUCACCUCUGACUUCUGCACAAGCCCCUCUCUAUUCCUCUAGCUUUAGCGGCAGUAAAAUAUUUUCUGACAUAUAUUUUCUAGUCUCCUGCAGCUAAUUAUUUGGAGAUGUCACCUCAACCAGUCUCACACACUGUUCAUGUGCCUUUUCUCUUACUGCCAUCUUUUCCUUUUUCACACAGCCAUCUUAUAUCUCUGCUUUGCUUUUUACAUUGUGAUGUUCUCAAAACGCUCAUUCAUGUAUGCCCCUACCCAGUCAUUUAUCACAAAGCACUUGGCAUUAUCCGAAAUUUUAAUAAUUUAAUUUCUUUUCUUCUGUUAAACUGUCUUGACGUUUAUAAGGUCUAUGAGGGAAGGAUCUGUAGCCACAGUACUGAAAACAAUAAGCACAUAGUAGAUGCUCUAUAAACAUUUUCCAAAUAAAUAAUUCUGUCUACCUGUUCCACUUAUUCUUCCCCAUAUUAGAAAAUUAAUCUUCACACAUUGACAUGAACAUUAAACUCUAAUCAGACAGUGGGCAUUAUUACUAUAAUGAUAGGAUUCAUCAAUCAAAUAAUUUACCAAGGCUCAAAAUCACAUUAAUUUGAAAAAAAAACAAACAGCCUAACAAAGUUUCAAAAAAUGUUAAUAGUUAAGGAAAUCAAUAAUUUAAUGUUCAUUAAAUAAUAAAGACUAUAAAAAUCAGGUGGCAAGAGAUUUUGAAAUUUAAUUUUGUUAACAGUCACUUGAAGGAAGGUAAGAUAUAAGAAGGUUUGAAUCCAUAAACAGAAGCACAAUCAAAUAUUAUAUGCACCUGCAGGGUGCCUGUCAAGUUUCUUUAUCAGUAAAGCUUGAUAUAUGAACAUCAGUAUUCCCAAACGAAAGGGGGGAAGAGUAUUUAGGAAUUUUUAUAGCUAUCAGCGGUGUCCUCUGAUAAAUAGCUUAGCUUUGAAAGAGUCCAGAUAGAUACUAGACUGAUAUCAAUGUGAUAUUAAAGAGUGGCCCAAUUCUCUCUGGUUUCUUAUCUCAGCAUGUUGCGUUAACUCUGUAAAAUCAAGUACUACUUAUGUGGUUCCUUGUACACCACAGUCAGUAGAACUGGUUCCACAUCAAGAUGUUCUGUUGCAUGAGUAAAUAUUCAUCCAUACUUUGGCAGAGAAAAUAUAUUUAUUUUUAAUUGUGGUCAAAACCACAAAUAUAAAACUUACCAUCUUAACCAUUUCAGGUCUACAGUGCAGUAGUGUUACUCACAUACACUGCUGGAUAACAGAACUCUACAACUUUCUCAUCUUGCAAUACUAAAACUCUAUCCAUGGAAAAGUACUCCCUCUUUCCCCUCCCCCCAGGCCCUGGAAUGUGCCAUUUUACUUUCUGUUUCUAAGAAUUUCACUAUUUUAGAUACCUCACAUAUGUGGAAUCAUGGAAUAAAAAGAGAGUCUAUUUAGUACUAGGCUCUUUUUCCAAUCGAAUGAUACUCUAUGACAAAUGGCACAAUCUUAGAGCCAAAGUUACUUGAAGUAAAUAUAUGAAACAAAGAGCCUUCUGAGAUUGAGAACCAAUGUCAAAUAAAUAGUUAGACACAAGGGCAAACAUUCUUGACAUUUUAACCAUUGCAUCCCAAACGUAUCUAAUGAAGAGAACAUACAAAGUUUAACAUUAAUAUCACAUUAUCAGUUAAAACACUUUUUAGAUUUUGCUUUGAAUCUAUAAACUACUUGCUUAAAAUGUAUUUCUUCAAGUCCAUAACCAGGUAUAAUACUUUGAUUGUACUUUUCAAUAGAUUUUUCUGGUUUGAAAAAAUAUUUGUGAAAAUAUUUUGUGAAAAAAUUUUUUGUGAAAAGUACGCAUAAAAUGUGUACCCAGUAUCGGUUAUCAAUCUGAUUUGAAACAAUUAACAUUAAGACAAUAGUAAAUAUAUAUCUAUAAUGUUGAUUUGGUUUUCAACUAUUAUGAUGCUUGUGUUAUGUCACCAAAUAAUUAUUUAUUAUUAUUCAAUUUAGCCUGAUUUGAGGAUCUGGAAUAGGUAUUCAUGACUUUCAAUAGCAUGUACAGCACAGACUGAUCCCUUCUCUUACACUGGUAGCAACCAGCCUAUAAUAAUUUGUGUAGUUGUCCAAAUAAAUAAUAAAAAGGCAAUGAUAAAUAACUGACAAAAUAUAUAGCAAAGUAAAAUAUUUUAAAACUAGUAAGAAUAAUCCAUUCUGCAGAUUAGUCAGC
ensembl:lncRNA